AUUGAACGCUGGCGGCAUGCUUUACACAUGCAAGUCGAACGGUAACAGGUCUUCGGAUGCUGACGAGUGGCGAACGUGUGAGUAAUGCAUCGGAACGUGCCCAGUCGUGGGGGAUAACGCAGCGAAAGCUGCGCUAAUACCGCAUACGAUCUAUGGAUGAAAGCGGGGGACCGUAAGGCCUCGCGCGAUUGGAGCGGCCGAUGUCAGAUUAGGUAGUUGGUGGGGUAAAGGCCCACCAAGCCAACGAUCUGUAGCUGGUCUGAGAGGACGACCAGCCACACUGGGACUGAGACACGGCCCAGACUCCUACGGGAGGCAGCAGUGGGGAAUUUUGGACAAUGGGCGCAAGCCUGAUCCAGCAAUGCCGCGUGCAGGAAGAAGGCCUUCGGGUUGUAAACUGCUUUUGUACGGAACGAAACGGCUCUCUCUAAUACAGGGGGCUAAUGACGGUACCGUAAGAAUAAGCACCGGCUAACUACGUGCCAGCCGCCGCGGUAAAAC
rnacentral:rRNA from 1 species